GGGGGAACAUCCUGAUCCCCGGCAUUAACGAGGCCGUGGCCGCCGUCACGGAAGAGGAGCACAAGCUGUACGACGACAUCGACUUUGACAUAGAGGAGUUUGCCAAGGAUGUGGGGGCGCAGAUCCUCCUGCACAGCAACAAGAAAGACAUCCUCAUGCACCGAUGGCGGUACCCGUCUCUGUCCCUCCAUGGCAUCGAAGGCGCCUUCUCUGGGUCUGGGGCCAAGACCGUGAUUCCCAGGAAGGUGGUUGGCAAGUUUUCCAUCAGGCUGGUGCCGAACAUGACUCCUGAAGUCGUCAGCGAGCAGGCAUGUGGGGCUGGGACACGGGGUGGGGGCCAAGAGCUACUGUGUCCGGGCAGAGACUUGGGUAAUAAAGGCUGUUACUCGACAGACACCCGGGCCAUGCAUGCCCCUGCUUCCUGGCUCUGGCCAAGUCAGUAAUUAUGACAGUCACGGUUCAGAAGCUAAUCAAAGAUAAUGCAUCACAUGUAAGUGACC
rnacentral:sRNA from 1 species